UACGUAGGGGGCAAGCGUUGUCCGGAAUCAUUGGGCGUAAAGAGCGUGUAGGCGGCCCGAUAAGUCCGCUGUGAAAGUCCAGGGCUCAACCCUGGGACGCCGGUGGAUACUGUCGGGCUCGAGUCCGGAAGAGGCGAGUGGAAUUCCUGGUGUAGCGGUGAAAUGCGCAGAUAUCAGGAGGAACACCAAUGGCGAAGGCAGCUCGCUGGGACGUGACUGACGCUGAGACGCGAAAGCGUGGGGAGCAAACAGG
rnacentral:rRNA from 1 species